AGCAGCCGCGGUAAUUCCAGCUCCAAUAGCGUAUAUUAAAGUUGUUGCAGUUAAAAAGCUCGUAGUUGAAUUUUAGGCCUGGCCAGGCGGUCCGUCUUUGGCGAGUACUGUUCUGUGUCGGGUCUUACCUUCUGGUGAACCGGUAUGUUCUUUAUUGAGUGUAUCGUGGAGCCAGGACCAUUACCUUGAAAAAAUUAGAGUGUUUAAAGCGGGCAUUUGCUUGAAUAGAUUAGCAUGGAAUAAUAGAAUAGGACGUUGGUUCUAUUUUGUUGGUCUAGGACCACCGUAAUGAUUAAUAGGGAUAGUUGGGGGCAUUAGUAUUCAACUGUCAGAGGUGAAAUUCUUGGAUUUAUUGAAGACUAACUACUGCGAAAGCAUUUGCCAAGGAUGUUUUCAUUAAUCAAGAACGAAAGUUAGGGGAUCGAAGACGAUCAGAUACCGUCGUAGUCUUAACCAUAAACUAUGCCGACUAGGAAUCGGGCGACGUUAUUUUCAUGACUCGCUCGGCGCCUUAUGGGAA
rnacentral:rRNA from 1 species